ACCACGUGAUCUUAUCCAAUGUUUGUAAACAUGCGUCGCCGCAUGUGAUUCUGACGCCAGAGACAGAACUCGCCGCGGGUUGACCAAUCAGAAAUCGGGGGAGUGUCAGGGGAGGGGCUCGCAGGUUGCUCUGUGGAAAGAUCGAUGGGAAUAUUGUAGGAAGGCAGAGGGUGAGCGCUUCAAGAUUGUAAAUAAUGGGAAGCGGUUGGAGGAAACGAAACAACAUAGUCCAGCUGAGCAAACCAGCCUUUUGACGGAAGCUGUGGCCCGACGCAGGAAGAUGUGGAACAGCAUACUCGUAUUACUACAGUCCAACUUUUGAGACCAAUACGCAUGCUAAGCGUGAAAAUAUACUACUGCGUCAGAGCGAGGGCUAUUGCGACAAGCGCAGUGAGGAACGGAUGGAGUCAGAACGAAUUCUACCUGCGUAGGAUGCUGGUAACUGCGCAAAAAUCACGCCUUCCGGCGAAAAAAAGGAUAACCCGACAAAACAUGGGCAUUACUGAUGAACAAACCGAAAGGACGAAAGAAGCGGUGAGUGGAGUAGAGUGGAAGCGAAUGAAAUGGUAGGCUGCGCGAGGGAGAGUUUGAGCGGAGAUAAUCCUAGUGCGGGAGAGAGGAUGUUACGCAGUUUAUAUUGGGAGCGCGCCUUCACAUGGCCUUUCAGUAAAGUUAUACAUUAACACACGGUGAUUGGUUACAGGGGGGGAAAAAACAAGUUGUUUAGUAAAUUAGGCACACUAAAUGAAUAGUAAAUGUUUACGUUGGCGCAUACAGUUAUAUGGCUAUUUUUAAGUACUAUGAUGUUGCUGUAUCGCUAUUAUUAUAGAAUGCUUUCCACGCAUUUACAGUCGAACCCUAAAACUCAAAUGUUUAUUUAUAAAACGACAUAUAAUUUUUCCCCCUACAACACCACAAUAAUGCAAGCUUCAACAAGCAAAUAUCAUCCGUUGUUGAAUUUUAUGUAUGUUACUUUAAAUAACAUUUUGUGUCAUUUAAUCUAGCGAUUAUAAUGGGGGCUUUACGGAUGGAAAGCACCAGAAGAAUACAAUUGUGAAGACAAGGUUAAUCUAAUGCGCACUUUUUAGAGACGUAAACAAACCUGAAACAUGCAGUUCACUCUCUGAACGCUUGAUGUCGCUAUUGCGCUCCUGGUCAUCCGAUACUUUUGUAACCUCACACAUCUGCACUGUUUGUGAAGGUAUUAACCUGCUACCGGGAGAAUGCGUUUUCAUCAUUUUAUUCGAAACCGAUGUAUAGCGAAAUAUAACGCAGCAAUUAAAACAUGAUUUCAACAUGCAAUGCUGAAUGCAGUCCGUAUCCAACUAUCAUAGCUUAAAAAGUUAUACCUGGAUGUACAAAAUAAGCCAGCAUGAAACCACUCUCUCAUCUAACCUAUCUAGAAAGGAGGAAAUAGUCACACCCAUCGCACCCACACCGAACAUAUCUGUAAAACAGGUUUCCUGAAAUCAGCCGCACUAGGCUGGUUGGUUGUUUGGACAUUGCCUCCGCCUCCACAGUAAUUGAGCUUUUUCGGGAGAAUGAAAUCAAUCCUACCCAGUGACCUUUUUAACAAUGGCAGCUCGACACACCUGUUAUGACGUUAGUCUUCAGGGUGGGCUGGGGGGGGGGGGGGCAGGGGGCGGUUGCAUUUGGGAAAACAGAAACGACAGGCGUCGCAUCUGCUCCCGAUGGACUGCGAAUGCAUGCGCAUACACAGACGCAUACGCAGACGCACCGUGCCUUCCGAUCAGCAGCCUGAGCGCUGGGGGGAUCUGUUGUGACAAUAAUAAUCCCAAAAGUAAGAAAAAUCAGCCGUGAAAAUGACUAACGACAAACACAGGAGGGGAAGAUGUGCAUGUCCACAUACAUACGUGCACGUGGACAAACGUACAUACUUUGUCUUGUGAGUUCAAGGCAAAAUACACGCUCUUGAGAGGCUUGAAAGAGUAAGAUAAUUGCUCAGCAGUGCGUGCUCUCCCUUCUAUAAUCGGCUCACACAGCGAUAUAAACACAGUUGCUGAACAUCAGUAUGACGGCAAGCAGUCGUCAGGGACAGGCAGCGGUCGGACUGUAAGCGUGCGGGUGUGUGCUUUGAACACCGCAGAAGCUGCUUAACCCUUUAAAGACCGCGUUUUUUUGGAAUGUUCUUUUGAAAAUUGAUUGUCAGUCAGUGCUCUAGAACUCCUUGGCACUGAUUGUUACGAAAGCAGUAGAAUGCUCAUAGCGUUAGAAACAUUCUCAUCACGUGUUCUUGUGAGGCUGCUCGUGUACAGAAAAGCAAUGCCUCCAUACUUUUUAUUCCCCCAACGUGGGGCUAAAUAUGUCCAGUUCCCACCCCAAUUUGGAAUAGCCAAUGAACUAGCGAGCCGCGUUCGUGCGCAGUCUCUACUGCCGAUUCGGGAGAGAGAAGACGUCCGGCGUCUCUGCUCUGAAACACGCGGGUGUCGCCAGCUGCUUCUCUUCACACUGCGGCCCACGGCCGCGCUCGUGUAGAGCUGAGUCAGAGGAGGACCUUUCGUACGCGGCUUUUUUGGCACGCAGCCUGCUGGGGGUGCCCGAUCUCCCGGCAGUGGUCCCUGGAGAGUGAUGGGGACCCCUAACCGUGGGAGCCUGGGCGUUCCCUGGGCGAUGCAUUUCGGGAACUGCAUGUCACCCCUUUGCGGCUGAUGGCCACAGUGGGCACCGGCAAGAUAGCGCUUUCCCUAGUGGCUGCGGGGCUCUGAAGAGGGAGCUGCCCGAAUCAGCAGCACCCCUGUACCGCGCUGAAGAAUACCGCCUGUGCUUCUUGAACACGGACGUGUGCGCGGCUGUGGCUGGUUCGUUCUUAUGAGCACGCUGGAGAAAAUGGCGGACGUUUGUGUGUACUGUAAAAGGACGUGCCCGACUCGCCCCCACCCCCCACCCCCCGAUGAGGAGAUUUAAGAUUUAGGAUGCGAAAUACAGCGGAGAGCUGACACUGCUAAAAUUAACGCCCUCUGUCUGCUAGGUGACAAAAUAAAGAGCCAGGAGGAAAAAAACGAAGAGUGUCGCAUACACCACUUGUCACAGAAUACAUGUAUACAUGCACAACCCGGCUGAAACUUCCAGCUAAUUCCACCGGGGGCUCUAAGCUGCUUUAAGAUGUGUUUUUUCGACACUUCUAGCUGGUCAUAGCUGGUCUGUGGCUGGACAAAGCUGGUAAAAGCCGGUUAAGCUGGUAGUGAAACUGCUGGACUAACUGACCAUAUAGGCAACCAUAUAGACAGUGC